GGCAGAGUGCACAGGUGGAAUUUCUGCGCGAUCUCCCCGCGCUGAUUCAGACCGCACCUCUUGGAUUCACCGAGCCACAAGUGAGCAAGCGGACAUCGCCCGUGCCUGCAGACGCUGACUGGGACAGGAUUAGUGGCUGUCAAAGGCUCUCCUCCAAUGAAAUUUCUUCUGCUCUCUGAUUUGGCGGUUCUCCUGGAGCAAAUGUGACAGCCUUUUCUGGAGACUCCUUGCCUUCCUAUCCUCUCCACGUCCACCCUUCAAAGUCCAGCUCUCCAUCUGCAAUUUCUACAUCAGAUCUUUUACAAUUACUACCACCACCACCACCCAGCCCAUCCCUGCAAGUAUAUGGUUGUCAUAAACGGUACUGACACACUGGAAAGAAUGUUGUGGUGCUAUUCGGUUGCUGAAGAUGCAUCAGCCCAGUUUCUCCAGAGAUAGAAAAGAAAGAGAGAGGGAAAGAACAGCUUUCUUCAAUGCAGUAGAAGACGAGCUCAAGUCUUGGUUGAGUACAUGGCAAGCAACACCCUAUCCAAGUUCUAAUGGAACACUUGUGAACCUCCCCCCCUUUUUAAAUAGGUGACUAGAGACACACAGAAAGAAGAAAGAAUGGGAAACACCAACAACACAACUCCAACACUUGUGAAUCUUUUCCAUUUAACGACCCUGCAUGGGGCUUGAACUGGGUGCACAUGAAUGGUGACAGACAUGUGCUCUAUAGGGUGAGUCACUAGUCCACCCUAGGAUAAUACAUUUUCAUAUUGAUCAAGCGGUCAGUUGUGCCAUUCUUUGUUGACUUGUCUGAGACCUCAGGUAGGAUGAAUCUUGCCAUAAUAUGAGAGCAAAGCAAGAGUGCACCUCUGUUUUAGAGUAACUCCAGUCUCAUCAUCAAGGUCCCUUAUUCAAAUUUUGGGAAAAACUGAAGCCAGAAGGUCAAAUUUUCAGUGAUUCAGUGCUGCAUAUUACAUGUGAUUUUCUGUGAACUCUCCCUUGUUCUUUUCUGUUGGUGUGAAUCUUCAUCAUACAUCUAACCCCUGAGUUAUAAACUGUCCACACAGUCCAGAAAUGCUCUGAAUCUAGAAUAAAGACAAACUGAGUUCAUGUCUGUAAGUAGUGGUGGGGAAGUAUAUAUGUCAAUAAAAUUCAUCAUGCAUUAACCA